rnacentral:rRNA from 1 species
AUUGAACGCUGGCGGCAGGCCUAACACAUGCAAGUCGAGCGAGUGGCGGACGGGUGAGUAAUGUAUGGGGACUGCCCGAUAGAGGGGGAUAACUACUGGAAACGGUGGCUAAUAACGCAUACUAUCGGAUAACCCAUAUGGGAUUAGCUAGUAGGUGGGGUAAAGGCUCACCUAGGCGACGAUCGCUAGCUGGUCUGAGAGGAUGAUCAGCCACACUGGGACGGAACCACGGCCCAGAUCCCACCGGAGGCAGCAGUGGGAAAUAUUGGACAAUGGGCGAAAGCCGGAUGCAGCCAUGCCGCGGGUAUGAAGAAGGCCUUAGGGUUGUAAAGUACUUUCAGCGGGGAGGCGGUACCCGCAGAGGAAGCACCGGCUAACUCCGUGCCAGCAGCCGCGGUAAUAC